AGGUCCGGUAUAUUGCUCGCGCCCGUUGGCAUGAUGCUCCUCGGCGCGCGCGGAAUGCUCUCCGUCUCCGACAAAACCCUCGCCAAGAAGAAUGUUGUAAGGGAUGUCAAGGAGCCACUGAAAACUCAAGUCAGAUUUUGCGAAAGAUGCUCCAGGAUGUUAAUUUGAUUGGAGCCCUCAUCUCGGUUCCCUUCUUAAUGCUAAUUUCUGUUAAUCUGGUGGUGGGUCAGUCUCCUGUGGAGGGAUCUGGGGGUGAACGGAUUGGUUCAGUAUUGUUUGAUGUGGGGCUGUUGGGCGUCAGCGCAACACAAUGUUUCAUCGUCUUGCCAACUAAGUUAUUGAGGGAAUGGAGGAUGGAAUGGUGAUUUUGAGGCUAUGCUGUUGAGACUUAAACCCUGAAGAGACGGUGUGAAGAUGGGCAAGGCAUACAAGAACUGACUCUUUGCUGAAGAUUAUGGCCAGUGAUAAGUACUGAACAAUAGUUAUCUGUAUUUUCAACUGUAGUUUGGUCCACUGCUAGUAUUGCAUAUUCCCUUUGCUAGUUCUCGUAAUUCGACAUUGUGUUGUUUCAGUGUUUACUUGUUGCUGGAAU